CCUACGGGUGGCACCAGUAGGGAAUCUUCGGCAAUGGACGAAAGUCUGACCGAGCAACGCCGCGUGAGUGAAGAAGGUUUUCGGAUCGUAAAACUCUGUUGGUAGAGAAGAACGUUGGUGAGAGUGGAAAGCUCAUCAAGUGACGGUAACUACCCAGAAAGGGACAGCUAACUACGUGCCAGCAGCCGCGGUAAUACGUAGGUCCCGAGCGUUGUCCGGAUUUAUUGGGCGUAAAGCGAGCGCAGGUGGUUUAUUAAGUCUGGUGUAAAAGGCAGUGGCUCAACCAUUGUAUGCAUUGGAAACUGGUAGACUUGAGUGCAGGAGAGGAGAGUGGAAUUCCAUGUGUAGCGGUGAAAUGCGUAGAUAUAUGGGGGAAAAACGGUGGCGAAAGAGGCUCUCUGGCCUGUAACUGACACUGAGGCUCGAAAGCGUGGGGAGCAAACAGGAUUAGAUACCCUGGUAGUC
rnacentral:rRNA from 1 species